GGCUGUGAGAGGAAAAGGUUGGGAUCCAGGCCGGAGCCUGGGUGGGGUUUGGUGGGGUUCAGAGAGCAUGAUCAGCCUUUGUUCCUUUGCUGAAUGUACCCUACCCAUCAUCACAGCCCCCUAAGGCCACUACUGAGCGGGACCAGCCACGUUCUGUGUGAUGGGACCCCCUCACGCCCUGGCCACAGAUAAUUGUUAAGAGACCACCCGACCCAAAGGCAACCCAUCCAUUGGCUGGCCAGCCAUCCUAUUAGCUGGCCAUAGUCAUAUACAGGGGAAUUUGAACUAAAAGAUUAAAAAGUGUAUUUAGGGAUGGGCAAUGGAGCCAAAGACUAUGUGGAUGGAGGAGAAGUGAUGGGGAGAUAGGGCAGCUCGUGAUCUCAGACAACUAAAAGGAGAGUAUUUACAGGGGUGAUGGAGUGUGGGUGCUGAUGCAGAUGGAAGAACCCCAGAGAGAUCUCUGGAGAGAGCUGAGACAGGGACACAGGCCAGAUGCUCAGAGUAUUGGGAGGCAAUAUUCAUUAGCAUUCCUCUCCUAGGAUGGUGGGAAGCCUCCCAAAAGAGUCUACAAAGAGACUCCAGAAAGAAAAGCAAUAAGAGCACAAUGGCAUCCACAGAGCCCUGAAAGCCAAGGGUGUUCAUAAAGGGGGUUGGCAAUAAUCCCUCAUCCCUGGUGAGGAAGUUCCCACCAGGCACCCAGAUAUAAGAGGAGCAGUUCCCUGAGGUUGAGAAUUGAUGGAGACAAGAGAAAUUCCUGCUGCUCAUGAAGUUAACUGGGAAGGAGGUGGUAUAACAGCUUAGAGAAAAGAUACCGGCUGCAGAGUCAGGGGAAGGUUUGGUUCAGACCCUGGUGUAGGUGGCUUGGAGCUAUGGCCAGAAAACUGAGGUCGGAUCCACAGCACCCCAGGCUUCUGGGGCUGGAACCAGCCCACCCCACCAAGCUAAGCCACAGAGUCUAAACAGAGCAAGAUCGAACACCUGGAGCCCAUGCCCCUGCUCCCACACCCAAUUCCACAGUCAAUAUAGGGAAAGCGGGGGAAUGUCCCUCAGUGGAAAACCUACUUUUCUGGGGAGUCUGCAACUCUUACCCCAAGCUUGGUGGGGCCCUGAGAAAAUUGGGAACCCAGCACAGAAGGAAAACCAUGCUCUGUGUGCCCAGAGGGCAAUACAUGCGAACAUGAUGAUUUGAUACAAACACCUGCUCCUCUCCCGCUACGAGGGGGUCUGGGACAAGAGAUGGGAACCAGGGAAGAAGAGGACGUGGCGGCUGACAGCUGGCAGGAUCCACAGAGAACAGGAGGGAAAAAGGAUGGGUCCCUGCAGAGUCCAAGGCUUCAGAACAACCUGAACGUGGGCAUCUCCUUCAUUUCCAGACAGUAGGGCCACACUUUACAGAAGGUCACCCUGGGGGAGAAGCAGACAACCAUGGGCCCUAUGCCUCCCUCAAGGGCCUCGUCUAGAAAACCCCUUCAUCUGAAUCCAACCGCCUCAUAUGCCAGUUCUCUCCAGCCAGAGCAUCCACCAGCUUGACCAGGCAGCCAGGGCUGGAACCACACACUUUCUUUACAGGAGAGGUCUCACGAAAUGACUGAGCGAAGCACCUACUUGGGGAGGUCCUAGGGGUUACAUUAUUUGAGAUUCGUGACCAGUAGGAGCAGAUUAAGAAGUGCUGAUCAGGAGUUCCCAUCGUGGCGCAGUGGUUAACGAAUCCGACUAGGAACCAUGAGGUUGCGGGUUCGGUCCCUGCCCUUGCUCAUGGGUUAACGAUCCGGCGUUGCCGUGAGCUGUGGUGUAGGUUGCAGACGCGGCUCGGAUCCCGCGUUGCUGUGGCUCUGGCGUAGGCCGGCGGCUACAGCUCCGAUUCAACCCCUAGCCUGGGAACCUCCAUAUGCCGCGGGAGGGGCCCAAGAAAUAGCAAAAA
rnacentral:lncRNA from 9 species